UUGUUAUCCAUAGUAAAGCCAGUCUAUAUACAAUUUUUAACAGUACAACACUACAGUGAAUAUUUUUUCUUCGUUUCAGUGCACUUUAAUAGAUAUGUACAUGUUACUACUCCACCUGUGCACCUGUAUGACAAACUAAAGGAUCCCUUACUGUACAAUGUCUGUAUACCAGAAAGCAUAGCAAACAGACCGCUUAUGUCGACUUCCCACUUGAUUCGCCUUAAUGACGCAUACUUUCUCUGGAUAGAUUCGUUUGUAAAAUUAACAUUUUAACAUGAUUAUAAUUAUUGAUGGCCAUUUUUAAACAGCUGUGAUAAUGAGACUUGUAGUAUUGCCAACAAAACAAUUUGAUGUAUUCAUGGGAUAACAGAUCUUGAUCUUCAACAAAAAUGAAUAAAAACAAUAUUUGUUGAAAGUAAUGAAAGUACCUGUGUGGUGUGGUCGACGUUUGAGUAUCAAUAUAAAAUCAUAAUUGUCACAUGUUCACCUAAAUUAAAGCUGUAUACAAGUUUAUGUCAUAAUCAUUUCUGUAAAAAAAAUUACUCCGACAUACAGUAAAUAUUGUAAAUGUUUUAUGGUAAAUAUUAUAUUUUUAACUGUCCCGUGAGAAAAAAUAUAUAGCCUGACCGAGAUUUGAGCCCAGUACCGUCAAAAUACCGUUUUGCAGCAUUGCCGACUGAGUUACACCUUAUCUCCACUUUUGUUAAUGUACUGAUGAUGGAAGGGAGGUAACCUAUUUCGUAUUCAAGCCUUAUUGUGAUCAUGAUUAUAUUUCCUUAUCCACGAAGCUCACAUUUAAUUAGUCUAUAAUACAUUAUUUGUAAAUAGUUUCUAUGCAUCAUACUAUGUAUAUAAUAUAAAUUGAAAUGUGUUCAUGUUGUGCUGUUUACUCUGGGAAGCAAUAUUUAGUACAGCAAUAUUUAGUGCUGUAUAAUUAUUAUCAUAUCCAUCGAUGUUUCAAAUAUGUUCAGCUUUAACUCAGCAAAAUUGUUGUAUCAUAAAUUCAGUGUGUAUAUUUGAGCAAAAUUGUUGUAUCAUAAAUUCAGUGUGUAUAUUUAACCAGGUUUUCCGAAGGAAAAAACUGGUUAUUAGAUUGAGGUAUGUCGGCGGGCGGGCGGGCGGGCGGAUGGGCGGACGGGCGGGCGUAAACAAUUUCUUCUGUGCGCAACUCCUCCUACAUUUCUCAACGGAUUUUGACCAAACUUUCACAGAAGCUUUGUCAUCAAGUGCCCUGGCGCAUAUUGUCGGGGUUUUGUGAUUAGAUAAUAUUUGACCUAAUUAUGGCCCUUUGUUUUUUUUCCUUAUAUAAAAUAUAUAGUGAACAAUUUCUUCUGUGCGCAACUCCUCCUACAUUUCUCAACGGAUUUUGACCAAACUUUCUCAGAAGCUUUGUCAUCAAGUGCCCUGACACAUAUUGCCAGGGUUUUGCAAUUGGUAUAUAUUUGACCUAAUUAUGGCCCUUUGUUAUUUUUCCUUAUAUAGAAUAUAUAGUGAACAAUUUCUUCUGUGCGCAACUCCUCCUACAUUUCUCAACGGAUUUUGACCAAACUUUCUUAGAAGCUUUGUUAUCAAGUGCCUGGCACAUAUUGUCGGGGUUUUAUGAUUGGAUAAUAUUUGACCGCAUUAUGGCCCUUUGUAUAUUUUUUCCUUAUACAGAAUAUAUAGAGAACAAUUUCUUCUGUGCUCAACUCCUCCUACAUUUCUCAACGGAUUUUGACCAAACUUUCUUAGAAGCUUUGUUAUCAAGUGCUUGGCACAUAUUGUCCGGGUUUUGUGAUUGGAUAAUAUUUGACCGAAUUAUGGCCCUUUGUAUAUUUUUUCCUUAUACAGAAUAUAUAGUGAACAAUUUCUACAUUGCGCAACUUCUCCUACAUUUCUCAAUGGAUUUUGACCAAACUUUCACAGAAGCUUUGUCAUCAAGUGCCCUGGCGCUCACUAAAUUCCCAUGUUUCUUCCAAGACAUCAUUCAAGUAUUUUUUUAAAAUUGUGAACAUACUUUUCUUGAUAUCGCACAAAACACCACACGCCAAUAUUGUUGACAAAAGAAAAUGACAAGAGACGCAAAAAUGCAAAAAUUAAGCAAAAAUAAAGUACUGUUUACCUUUCUAAAACAUUUGGGGAAAAAAAGGCGAAUAGACAACAUAAAAUUUCUCAAUUAUUUUUGUUUGAGGAAUAUUAAAAAAGCCAUAAUUCCUCCUAAAAGUUCAAUUAAAAACAAAUGCCCCUUCAUGACAAAGCUUCUGUGAAAUAUUUUGCUGAAAACCUGGUUGCAUCGCAUUGCGAUGUUCCUUGUUUUAAUUUAU